rnacentral:rRNA from 1 species
AUUGAACGCUGGCGGCAGGCCUAACACAUGCAAGUCGAGCGGAUGAAGGGAGCUUGCUCCUGGAUUCAGCGGCGGACGGGUGAGUAAUGCCUAGGAAUCUGCCUGGUAGUGGGGGAUAACGUCCGGAAACGGGCGCUAAUACCGCAUACGUCCUGAGGGAGAAAGUGGGGGAUCUUCGGACCUCACGCUAUCAGAUGAGCCUAGGUCGGAUUAGCUAGUUGGUGGGGUAAAGGCCUACCAAGGCGACGAUCCGUAACUGGUCUGAGAGGAUGAUCAGUCACACUGGAACUGAGACAAGGUCCAGACUCCUACGGGAGGCAGCAGUGGGGAAUAUUGGACAAAGGGCGAAAGCCUGAUCCAGCCAUGCCGCGUGUGUGAAGAAGGUCUUCGGAUUGUAAAGCACUUUAAGUUGGGAGGAAGGGCAGUAAGUGAAUACCUUGCUGUUUUGACGUGACCAACAGAAUAAGCACCGGCUAACUUCGUG